rnacentral:lncRNA from 1 species
UUGCAGUUAUGAAUCACAGUUGUCUCUGCUUCUAUUCUAGGCUAUUUGCCAUCGUAUAAGCAGAAUGUGAUUUACCCAAAUAUAUAUAUUUUUUAUCAUUUCACGAAACUCUUAUGAUUCUAUUAUGCACUGAUUUAGAAACCAGCUUUCACCUUGUUCUCUGCUUGUAAAGAUAAGCAGUUGUGUCUUUUAGCACAUAGAUAGUUGUGAAAUGCACAAGCGAGGAACUGUUUUAUUUGCUCAUCAAACGUGCCAUCAUUCCAGGAGUAGCUUAGACCAUUAUCAUGGGUUAGAAGGUUAUACAGGAAAAACACGUUCUAGAGAAAGGCUGGUCAAAAUAGAGGAGAUAGCCUUAGAAAAGCAGAUCAUAACAACCUGUAUCACUCAGUAUGUGUCAGGCAGAGUCCUGACAGUUUGUCAUAAUGACAGAAAUGAAGCAAUACCAACACUGUUACAUAACCACGUUUGUAUUAUAAGAAAACAAUAACACUUCACUGCGCUCUUACCUUUUAUCAGAGAAAUAAGAUUGUUCUUUGCUGUCUGCUCGUGGUUGUCCCAUGAUUCAGGAGAGCAGUGCUGUCCAUGAAGAAAAGGGGAAAGAGACACGAGAGGAGGAAGUAGUUACCGAGGUCACGUGGGGAAGCAGUGUCAGAGGCAUGAGCAGAAUCUCAGCCUUCUGACUGUCCCACUCUGCCCUCAGGGCAACCAGACAGAAGUGCAAGAGUGGCUUGCCCUGUGACUCAACUGCUCUUCCUUCCUCAGCAGCUGGCAUGCUGGGCAAUUACAAAUAAGUGCCAGUGUGCCACUUGCAUCUGUGUCGGGUUCCCAAGGGACUCUAGGCAGGCAUGUCUUCUGCUGGAGAAGGCUGGAUGGAAGGAUCUCUGCAAUGCAUUUCUUUGGGAGCAUUUUUAGAACUUGGAAAGAUUCUCUUUUUGCCAGAUGUGUGUUACUUUCCUCUGAUUUCUUUCAUAACUUGUGUAACCUGGGGACACCCAGGGUUUUUUACCCUCCUCUGCAAUGGACUAACAACAAACUUGUGACAUAUGUGCCAAAUGAACUUAUAAUGAUAUGAGAUAAUGCUUGGGGGGAUCCUGUAAGCUUCUCCUUGAGGGGAGUGCUGAUGAGCUUUGUGGCCUUGCACAGGUUUGCCUUGUGGCUCAGAAUGGGAUCGGGGCCAUUGAUCUGGGCUGAUGCUAAAACUGGGAGACAGUUCUUCUGGAAGUUCAUUCUGUAGCAAGAGGGUGCUGGUGGUGUCUGAGUCCUCCUACCAGAUACAGGGUGAGGCCUUGCAUCUUCAUCUGAGCAGCACCUCCAGUUUUGAUGUCCUCAUGCUUCUCUGUAUCCAACACCUGCGUUCUGUUUAGGUGGCUGUCAGCAAUUGUCCUGUUGUGAUACACUAAUGCUGGGAUGCACUUCCAGAAUACCAGUUCAGCCUUGGCCUUGAGGAAUAAGUGAUGGAAGGAAACAGCACAGGAGGAGGCUCUGUCUUGGUUCUGGUCUUUGGAUGGAUGGAUAAGGAGAGGUCUGUGGCACAGAGGGGUGAAAGGUGACUAAGAGUGUGAAACUUGCAAAAAACUCAUUAUAAUCAUGCAAUCUUCAGGUGGUUUUCUUUCUCUGGAAGAAGCCACCUCGUGUCAGUUGGCCUGCUGGCAGUUGUUGCUCACCCGGAUAGAAGUAUUAAACAGUUAUUUCUCUGCUUAGAAAGUUUAAUACAACGUCAUAGCAGUGAGGCUACAACACUACAUAUUGUUUUCUUCUUUCAUAGUUUUGUGUCCAUGCUCACAAAGCUCUCGUGAACAAGCUCUGUUGAAUUUUGCUGUGGCUCUUUGAGGUGUUGCUGGUCUAGUCCUGCUCCACGGCUUGCUUCCCCAUAGCAGAGCCAGCAGAAAGGUUUACUCUGUGAUUGGUCCAGGGCAGCAUCCCCCAGAAGAGCAGCUUGCUGGAGGUGAUGAUUUAAACCACUGAGCAUGUUUCCUAGGAGGACUCUUACUUUCCUAAUUAGCAUGCCUGCUUUUCCAGUGAGCUGCAGUGAAUGGCUUCCCCAUUGACCCAGUGGAUCCCAGUCUUGCAUUUUACAAGCAAAACGACAUGAUGUUGUAAAUGUACUCCUUGGAACUGAUUCUCCUCAUAACCUGUAAAACUGUUGUGAAAAUAUGGCCCUGUCCCUCAGCAGUUCUGCAGUCACCUCUCUGAGACGCUGUGUUUCACUCUUGAAUCAAAUUUUAGACCAGAAAAAGGGUUAGGCUGCAUGCAGAUUAACAGAUCUGUUGCUUGUAUCUCUGGCUACUGCAGCAUGACUCACCCAUCAGCGCCUGUCAGCAGCUGUGUGACCUCAUUGGAAGCUUCAACAUCUCCUGUGUGAAGGUAGCUCGUAAUCCAGAGUAGGAAUCCUGGGUAGGUGGAGAGACCGUGGUGAUACACACAGCAGGAGUGUUCUCUGUAGAAAUCAGAUGUGCCCUCAGCCAGGAAUCACCGUAAAAAUCCUUGCAUAUUUCUGAAGAUCCUUAAAUGCUGAGGCUGCCUUUCCCUUGCCUCUACUAAAAAGCACCUGUAGCUUUUCAAGACAGUGAUUGGCAUCACUGCUGACAGGAAAAUGUGAAAGUAGAUAGGUCAGGGAGGAGAAGCUCCUUUAUUUGCAAGGGCAAGGAAGAGCUGAUGGCUCCUCUUUAUUUGCCACAUCUUCUAUUGACGUGAUGUACUGACACAGGAACAACAGGGCUGCUGGCAUGCUGUUUGAGGGAGACAGGUUUAAAAACAGCAAGAGGAUCUAUAAUAAAAGGAAAGGAUGAGUGAAUUAACUUGUGGUACCUUACACGUGUAGCUUAGAGAAGUAGUGUGAUGGUGAAACAAAAAGUGGGAGGCAGCACUUUAGGCAUCAGAUGGUUGUCUUCAGCUGCUGCUUGCUGGCUGAACACAAAGCUUGUGCUCCUUGUCUCUGCCUCCUGCCAGGGGCUGUUACACAGUUCCUCAGACAGGGGUAGAGCUGGCAUUGACUGAAUGUGGUUAUGCAGAGCUGCUGCAGACCAGCUCUGUUACCUAGCAAGUCUAUUCUCUUGCACUUUGCCUCAGGUGGAUGGUAGUAUUGCUUCUGCAUUCCGUAAAUUUCUUUCUUCUGCCCGGGAAUGUGGAUUCUCUUGGUGAAUAUUCUGUUCCAAGAGAAUUUGUUUCACGUUUCGGUGCUUCUUUAAGGAAGGUGUAGGUGGUCUUACAGUUGAGGCACGCAUGGGAGGAGGAACUAGGCAGCAUUUUGUGUCUCUUCGUCCAGGAUUCCCUGCCACCAGGGUCAGCCAGGUCCUGCAGCUGUCUGCCUGGCUGCUGUGUGAUUCCAGCAUGCAAUAAGCUCGUGUGUCUGCCUGCUUUCUGGAACCAAGAUGUGCAAUAGAUGCAGAGCACAGCUAGUCCUGGAAAUGAGUCUCUGCGGCUCUCUGCAUGGAGGCCGAGGUCUGGGUGAUGUUUUGAGACUGAGCUUGCCUUCGCUGGGUGAUCUGAUGGGUGUGAAGGGCAAGAGAUGGAGGGCCCAUAGCAGUGCUGUCUGUGCUGCAGUCACCUGCGGGUGUGAUGGUUUAACUGUUCAUUUUUUUUUUGCCAGUAUUUGAAGUUUCAUUGCUUGAUUUACAUCUGAGUAAAUUUCUUUAGUAUCUUGGAAGACUUUUCUUUCCAGUAUGAAAGCUUACCUCGGGUUCCGAUGGCAUCCUGCUCUUACCUCCAGCUCAGCCCUCACCACUGCUCUCCGCUUUUGACAUGGAACGGGCAGACACCAUUUGUGACCGUGCGAAUAUCCUGAGUCACACACUACCAGCUGGCUUUUGUGCUGCAGUUUUCCCUUCUCCCUUUACGACUGCACUCCCUAGAGGAGACCUGAACAAUUGCACUCGUCAGCAGAAGCGCAUGGUGUGCCGUGCCUGGAUGGCACCAUUGGUGGACGACCUCUGGCUGUGUCUGUGGGCUUCCUUUUGUAGCUGGGUUUCAUUCUGUUAGAUCCAGUUGAUUUGGCUUCUGCUCUGCCUGGGCUUUGCACCUGCUACAGCCCCAGCAAACUUGGCAGCAACCCUUCGGCUCUGCAGAGAAAACAACUGUCUAGACCAGGAACCUUCUGCCUGAUGCCCUGGAUGGACCCCAGGCACUAAUCUGCAUCCACAACGGCGCGUUGUUGUGUCUGUUGCAAAAGAUGGAUAAAAUCUUUGUGGACUCCUAAUUGCACCUUUAGCCUCCUGCUAAAGCCCCGCUGCCCCAGGCAAACACAGAGCCUGUCAGCGUCCUGCAGCUCACCGUGCAGAGAUGGGACCAAAAUAGCUUCACAACUUCACAACGCCACUAAAAAUAGCUUGCAGCUGUUCUGCAUUUAUGAUCUGAUCUGCACGCUGAGUCAACGUCGCUGUAACGACAUGGAUGGAGGGCAGAGGUCCGCAGGUUUGCUUUGAGGAAGCCCCAUAAACAGGGUAAUAGCACCAGAGUUACUGUUCUCUCGAACUAAAGGGAGAGAAAGUAAGCUGCCAAUCAAAAAGAACAUCUCGUGGCACAGGCAGAUGUUUCUGAUGGCGAUGCCGGAGCCAGCAGAACCCCUGCAGCAGCGCAGCCCCAUGGUGCUGGAGGCCCUUCCAGACUGGAGGUGUGGCGGUGGUCUGCAUGUCAGCAGAGCAGUCCCAGCAGCGUUCAGCAUGGAUGAGGUAUUGAACGCAUCCCUGUGCCUCUGGGGGGCAACGUGGCUUCUGCUGACGUGUGAACGCUCUGCUUGGCAGCCUGGUGCGGCACAUCACAGCUCAGAUGGGUUCUCCCAGGCGGCUGUGCAGCACAGAACUAAUACAUGGAAUACAGGUGCUCGUGGACUCGUUCUGCACCGACCUGCCAGUCUGCAGGCCCCAAAAAUACAGGCACGGCCCAAAGGUUUCUAUUCAGGGCCCAGCAGUGGAAUAAGGAACAUGAGCCGUGGGAUAUCCCGUGUCACCGCAGGCUGCUCAGCCUGGAAGGGGCUGGUGGCAAAGGGAGGAAACGUCAGAAACGCCAUGGACUAUUUUAGAUCUGCAACCUCAGUUCUGCAAAGGACAGCCUGCUGAUGUGCCACGCUCAGCGAGCAGCGGGGAGGAACCCCACGGCAGGAAGAGAGGUUUGCAAGUUUCCCUUUCCCAUAGAGCACAUCCCAAACUGCUGCACGACAGCAUGCUGUGCAGUGCUGUGCUGCGUGGUGUCCUGUCAGCCUGCUGGGAGGACACGGAGUGCUCCAGCAGUGGGCAAUGUGGGAGCAGGCUGUGAGCUGCACAGCCCAGCAUACAGCACGGUGUGAGGCUGGAACUCCCAGUGCCCUCAGCACGUCUCCGUGCUGCGUCCCUGGCUGUGCAGCUAGGCCUGGAGGGCCCGGGGCUGUGAGCUCAUGGGUUUCUAUUUAUGCUUUCAUCUGGUUUUGCCUGCUUUGGACGGUUAACGUAACGCACACGCAGGGUGGUGCUUCAAGGAGACAAACAGUUGCUUCAUCUCCCUGUACAGACAGCCCUCUGCCCUUUGCGUUUCGAUUCCCGGUGUCUGUGUGUGUGGAGGUGAUUUGUCCAUAAUUGUUUGCUUUCUCCGGAGUCCUUUGAAGCGCCUGUCUCCCAACCGGUCCCCUCUUAAGAAUAAAUGCUUCCAAG